AGAAUUUCAUGUCUUUUGUAUUAAAGAAUUAAAUGGAUGAAAUAUGAAGUUUUAUUAAAAGAAAAAGGGGUGAAAAGAACAAAGUUUUGUCCAUCUUUGUUCAUCAUAGCUGAAAGUUAGAGAAGAGAAAGGAGAGGAGAAAGCUCUUGAGUAUUUGGUCAUUAGGAGGAGGAAAAUUGAAGGCAGUUCGUGUGUGUGGAUCUCGUCAGCAUAUCGUCGCAAACAGGAAAUCCCCAACCAUAGUGGGCUUGGAGCUGUGAGGGAAUUCGGAGUGGCCACCCGUUCUGAAAGUUUGAUUUUCUUCUGGUGAACUGGACAUCCUUUUAUUUACGUUUGAAGUUUUGGGUUUUUAAAUGUAAUAAGGCCGCUUAAUUA